GGAUGUGAGGGCGAUCUGGCUGCAUCUGUCACCCCACUGAUCACCAGGGUUGAUUCGAAUGAUCUGGCUGGCUAGGCGGGUAUCCCCUUCCUCCCUCAACGAACCAUGUGCGUCCCUCCAGAAGCUGCGAGCUCAGUCAAAGAGAACCACCCCCAACAGAGGAGGACCAUUCCUCAGUCAAGGGUACAUGAGUAGCUGCGCUCCCCUGCUAGAACCGCCAAACAGCUCUCAAAACUUCUAAAAACAUCACCAGAUCUGUAAGGCACAAUUGUGAAAAUCUUCAAAUAAUUGUAAUUACUUGAAUUGUUAAUACAUUU
rnacentral:snRNA from 1 species